AUAAAGUGGCGAACGGCUGAGUAACACGUGGGCAACCUGCCCCCCGCACCGGGAUAGCCUCGGGAAACCGUGGGUAAUACCGGAUACUCCGCACCCCGCAUGGGGGAGCGGGAAAGCGUACACGGCGGGGGAUGGGCCCGCGGCCUGUUAGCUCGUUGGCGGGGUAACGGCCCACCAAGGCGAUUAUGGGUAGCCGGGUUGAGAGACCGACGGCCAGAUUGGGACUGAGACACGGCCCAGACUCCUACGGGAGGCAGCAGUGGGGAAUCUUGCACAAUGGGCGAAAGCCUGAUGCAAGCGACGCCGCGUGCGGGACGAAGGCCCUCGGGUUGUAAACCGCUUUCAGCAGGGACGAGGCGCGAGUGACGGUACCUGCAGAAGAAGCCCCGGCUAACUACGUGCCAGCCGCAGC
rnacentral:rRNA from 1 species